AAUAAUUCUAACUCUGAGUGGACUUGGGUGUAUUAUCCCCUGUGAGUUUAUAUUAUUGCUAAAAUGCAAGAUCAGAAUGAGAGACCUGCAGGGUCUGUGUGUCCUACACCAGGGGUUUUCCCCUCAGACAGGGCAUGUAAGGAUGACACCAGCCUCAUGGCAUCGGAGGAAUUUCAAUCCCUCCUCGAUUCCACCAUGGCACAAUCCAUCAACAAGGCGUUAGCCUCCGCGAUGGGGGUCAUGUCAUCCUCUAU
rnacentral:lncRNA from 1 species